GGGCACGUAGCUCAGUUGGUUAGAGCACUUCACUGAUAAUGAAGAGGUCGGAGGUUCGAGUCCUCCCGUGCCCACCA
rnacentral:tRNA from 1 species